UACGUAGGGACCGAGCGUUGUCCGGAUUCAUUGGGCGUAAAGAGCUCGUAGGCGGCUGUUCAAGUCGAACGUGAAAACUCGGAGCUCAACUCCGAGCCUGCGUUCGAUACUGGACGGCUAGAGUCUGGUAGGGGGAUCUGGAAUUCCUGGUGUAGCGGUGGAAUGCGCAGAUAUCAGGAGGAACACCGGUGGCGAAGGCGGCGACCUGGUCCGAUACUGACGCUGAGGCGCGAAAGCGUGGGGAGCAAACAGG
rnacentral:rRNA from 1 species